GUCAUUCCAGUAUCCAACAUCUUAACCACCCUACUGAAAUGGUUCUGUGUGACUCACAUCGUGGACCGGUGGUGGUCUUUGUGGCGGUUUCCAAAGCAACACCAUCAAAGGCAGGAAGAUUCCCACCUCUUUCCACCCCACUUUCAAGAAAAAAGGCUUUAUCACAAUGUGAGACUCUGAAUUCUUUUCUGAGAAACUUCUGAACUCCCAGCCUAUUAGGAGGAGGGAGAGAGGGAAAGGCAUUUCUCAUAUCCUGCGAGUGACCUGGAGGAGGACGAACAAGAAAAGCGACAAUAUAGUAGCACCCUUUGAACUUGAACACCCUCAAAGUUGCAUUGCGGUUACCCCGUCCGUCCACACCCAUACCCAGGACAAGCCCUGGAGGCUGAGAGGCCCAGGCUCCAUCCAGUUCUCACCCAAACUGCCAUUCCACAGCGAUUGUGCUUCCCAGUUCCCGACAAGCAAACAUUGCGUCGGUACCAGGCUCAGCGAGGUCACGCCUGCCAAGCCCGGGGCUGGACACAGGGUGGAUGCCCACCAGCGGUGAGCCGGAUGUCAUCCCAUCACAUUCCAGCCCUGAGGAAGGCCGUCAUUCAGUCACUCAACAAACACUUAGGGAGGCCCAGCGGGGGAGCCCGGGAUCCGGAGCCAGAUUGCUCAAGGUCUGACGGCAGCUCCACUCCUCACCAGCUGCCUGACCCAGAUGUCAGGUUCGUUAGACGCUCUGUACCUCGGUGUCCACAUCAGGAAAUGAGUCAAUAACAGUACCACACAGUGUUGUGUAAAACACUUCGAACAAUGGAAAUGCCUUAGAAAAUAGUAAAUGCUCG
rnacentral:lncRNA from 1 species